rnacentral:rRNA from 1 species
AGUGAACGCUGGCGGUAGGCCUAACACAUGCAAGUCGAACGGCAGCACAGUAAGAGCUUGCUCUUACGGGUGGCGAGUGGCGGACGGGUGAGGAAUACAUCGGAAUCUAUUUUUUCGUGGGGGAUAACGUAGGGAAACUUACGCUAAUACCGCAUACGACCUACGGGUGAAAGCAGGGGAUCUUCGGACCUUGCGCGAUUGAAUGAGCCGAUGUUGGAUUAGCUAGUUGGCGGGGUAAAGGCCCACCAAGGCGACGAUCCGUAGCUGGUCUGAGAGGAUGAUCAGCCACACUGGAACUGAGACACGGUCCAGACUCCUACGGGAGGCAGCAGUGGGGAAUAUUGGACAAUGGGCGCAAGCCUGAUCCAGCCAUACCGCGUGGGUGAAGAAGGCCUUCGGGUUGUAAAGCCCUUUUGUUGGGAAAGAAAAGCAGCAGGUUAAUACCCCGCUGUUCUGACGGUACCCAAAGAAUAAGCACCGGCUAACUUCGUG